UGUGUUGCCUGGCAACGCCAGUAGUUUUCCUUCCUUUUUAUUUAUGCCGUGAGCAUGAGUUUUUGUUUUAAAUCUCUUUUCCUUGAUUUUCUGUAAACUUGCUGUAUUGGUGUUAGAGAACACGCCUCUGAAAACUGUGAAGAGGGCCCAGUGAGACCCACACAUCACACAUUUUCUAUCAACCGCUCGCUCUCUGGAAGCCGUGUUGUGCCUUUCAAAGGAGGUGGCCUGCAGGCAAAGGCAAAAUCCAGAAACCCUUGUCAUUGGAGUGCGGCUGUGUUCUGCGGAAGGGAGCCUCUCCCCUCAGCCACCCAAAACAGUACCACCAGCCGGAGACCAGGCGUUCAAGCACAGGAACUCACCUGAUGUUUCGAACUCAAAGGCCUUUCCAGACUUCGGAGCAAUCCCUACACCAUCUCAUUUUGUAUCUGUCACUCAAGAAACAAAACCACUUGGUUAGAAAAUUUAACCAGUGACGUCA